rnacentral:snRNA from 1 species
AUCGCUUCUCGCCUUUUGGCUAAGAUCAAGUGUAGUAUCUGUUCUUAUCAGUUUAAUAUCUGAUACGUCCCCUCGGGGACUAUAUAUUAAUGGAUUUUUCGAACAGGGAGUCGAAGCGGGCUUGCUCCGUCCGCUCCACGCAUCGACUCGUAUUGCAGUACCUCCGAGAACGGUGCACCCUCU